AUCUAGGGAACUGCUUAGUUUGAGUAGGAAUGAGAUUAAAAAGUCCAUUAGGUUUACUAACUGGACAUUGCUCUCUUAAUAGGCAUCUUAAUCUGAUGGUGGUUACCAACGAUCCAUUGUGUAGAGGAUGCCAUAUGGCAGAUGAAAGCUCAAUUCAUGUACUGUGUGAAUGUGACUAUUAUUCUGCUCAAACAUUGGAAUAUUUAGGAUACCACAACGUGGAUCCUUGAGAACUAACUACCUAACAUGUCGGUUAGACAACCGCUGAAAUUCUUUUCUGUUAUUGAGCUCUUCUUGUGGUCCUAGGGAGGAUAGUAGAACAGACCAGUGGUCUCAGUGCUCGCGCUUGUUUCAAACGUCCCCUUUUCCACUUCAUAACUUCAACUAUAAUUUAAAUGUAUGCAAAUGUUAUUGAUCUUUUAAUGCUAUUGCAUACACUAGUAUAAUUUUUACCCAAUUUGUGGAUUAUCCACAGUUACCAUGUCACCCUACUCCACAGAUAAUCGGAAGUUUACUGUAUUCAGUACUUGUAAAAAUGUUCUCAUCUGAUAUUCUGAAAUUGUUCUCUAGUUUUUAUUCUUUUUAAUUAUUUUUAGGUCUUCCCCUACCUGAUAUAUCUAUAAAAAGUGCCUUUAGUGUUGCAAAUAAGUGCAAGUAUCAGUGUCAUCACUGCUCGUACUCAACUGACAUUGGAUCAAAUUUGAAGUACCAUAUUAUUACUCAUACAGGGGAGAAACCAUUUACCUGUAAAGAGUGCAAUAAAGGUUUUAGUCAUCCUUCAUCAGUGAAAAGACAUAUGCGUUUGCAUGCAAGUCCAAUGGAUUACGAUCAAGUUGAUCCUUGAUGUAAUGGAGGAUAAUGAGGAAUAAGAAUUAUUAUUCCAAGUUCAACAUGUCCAGAAAAAAGAGAAACUACUGAACCUUCAAAAGAAAAGCCUUUCCAUUGUCAAUAUUGUGGAAAGUCUUUUAUGACAGUUUCAGGUUUGACUCGACAUGUUCGUGUGCAUACCGGUGAAAAUUUGUUUCCUUGCGAAGAAUGUGGUAAAAAGUUCACUCAGAAAUGUCACUUGAAAGGACAUCUUGAGAUUCAUGAGAGAAACAGAAAUAACUGACACUCACCAGAUUAUUGGGAAUAUCAACUUGUAUACAACACUUAAUGUUUCAAGAACUGAUAUUUAAAAUUCUCUUGUUAUACAAAACAUUUUAUUAAAUGCUAGCCACGGAAAAACUCGAUUUCUUUUCAUUCAAACUCGUUUUUUUUUAAAAAUCUUUAUGAAAUAAGUAUUCUAAAAUAUUUUUUUGUUGAUCUUAUCACAUUUGUAAAUUAAUUUUUUACCCUUCCCAAUGUGUUUCCACAUACAGUAAACACUCGAUUAUCCGCGGAUCUUUUCACAUGCUUUUUUUUAUAAACUCAUGAUUGUGUUAUUCUUCAUUUUCCCUUUUCCAUAUGUUUUUUACAUUCAAUGUUAGUAGAUGAAAUGUAGCCAUGUUUGUAGCUAUAAUUUAAAUAUAUUUAUGAGUGUUUUUAUUCUUACUUUUUUAGGUAUUGUAUUGAGUAGCAUCGUUUUUUACCUAUUAUUCAGAUUAUCUGCCGUUACCGUGCCACCCUAUUCCGCGGAUAAUCGGGUAUAUGUACUUUGUGUCAAUGAAAAGAUUUUAAUAUUUUCAUCUUCUUAAUUAGUAAUACUAAGUUGUGGAACUAGUUGUAAUAAAUUUGACGUUGUUUUUGAACA